AUUGAACGCUUGCGGCAGGCCUAACACAUGCAAGUCGAGAGAGCGGCGGACGGGUUAGUAAUGUAUGGGGACUGCCCGAUAGAGGGGGGUAAAUACUGGAAAAGGUGUCUAACACCGCAUACUGUCGGAUGCCCCAUAUGGGCUUCGCUAGUAGGUAAGGUAAUGUGUUACCUUGGCGACGAUCCCUAGCUGGUCUGAGAGGAUGAUCAGCCACACUGGGACUGAGACACGGCCCAGACUCCUACGGAGGCAGCAGUGGGGAAUAUUGCACAAUGGGCGCAAGCCUGAUGCAGCCAUGCCGGGUGUAUGAAGAAGACCCUAGGGUUGUAAAGUACUUUCAGUCGGGAGGCGUUACCGACAGAAGAAGCACCGGCUAACUCCGUGCCAGCAGCCGCGGUAAUUC
rnacentral:rRNA from 1 species